GCGGAUGUAGCUCAGUUGGUUAGAGCACCUGGUUGUGGUCCAGGGGGUCGUGGGUUCAAAUCCCAUCAUUCGCCCCA
rnacentral:tRNA from 1 species